UGAGAAAGUGGCCUAAAAAAUUAAACCAACCACAAAUCCUCAACCGUAUCUGCUUCACUUCCCCAUUCUCCAUUUCCCUCUGCUUGAAUACAAACAUUCACUCCCACUAAUUACACACACUGCUACACAUGAUAUAUAUAUAUAUAUAUGAGGACACGAAAUGAUGAAAAACAGAGUAAAGAUUAAGUAUGGUUGUUGAAUUGGUACAGUCAGUUUCGAACCCAAAUUGUAACAUACAUCUAUUUAAUUUUUUAGAAAACAAUAAUUACCAUUAUAGGAUAUGGCGUGAGAUGGAGACUCAGAAGUGAAGAUAAUUUGUAUGUCUUUGAGAUUCUCCUUUACAUAUGCAGACAUCUUAAGAUUUUUAUGACCCUUCAAGUGCUUUUGUAUUUGUUGUAUGUCAAGCAUAUAAUUUGCAAUUUGUCUUAAGAUUUUUAUGACCCUACAAGUACUUUUGUGUCUGUUGAGCAUAUAGUUUGUAUGAAGUCGCGGUUGAAGGCAAGACAGGGAAGCCUUUUUAUGCAAAGUUUCGUGAUCACCAUACGAUAGCAGAACAUUUGUAAUACUGAGACCAGACAUGCAGGUGAAUUCGAAAUUUGUCUCAUGGUAAUUACUGAUUUUUUUCAAAUCAAUUAACUUUAUAAUUCCUGCACUUAUAUUGCAGAACAUGACAUUGCUUGACAACCAGAUGAGAGGUGCGCCUGAUAGACAAUGCCAUUAUAUUAUUGAACUUCCACAAGACCAAGAGCAAAUGCAAUGAUUUAUAGGCUUCACAGGACAGUCUUUAUGCCAUGUUUCAUACGCCAUCGCCUACUCUCUUCAUUGUUGUCGCUGUAGUUAUGCCAUGUUUGGCAACAAUUGCGAUUGUUGGGCUUAAGAACUUUUUCAAAGCGCCAAAAUUUGAAAUUCCUUCCUUUAUUAGUCGACUUAUUUAGCGUAGUCAGGACGAACUAGCACUUCUCAAUUCUUGUUAGGAAGCGAAUUCUCUGAUAUUGAAUGCAUAUGAUUUCAUAUGGUCUGUAUCAAAAUCUCAUAAUGUCUUGUCGUUACCUUCUAUCCUAAAACUUGUAACAUUCUUAUUUUCCUGAAUCUUGAGAAAGUGAUGUGAAAUGGCAACAAUCUUGACAUGUUUCCUUUCUAGUGAUUUGGAUAAACUAUGUUAAAAUUUCUCCUAGAAGAUACCAAUAAAUUAGCAAACUACUAGUGCUUAUCAGUGAAAUAUGCUAUUGCAUUAUACUAUGGUCUAGUAGUAAUAUUUUCAGAUACAUUCAUGGGAUAAAAGAAUAAGAGAUCCUUUGAUUGAACUAGAAUAAUAAUUUUAAGUGCUUACAACAAUUGUAUGGAAGAAAAGGGAGUUCAAAGUGUUUGUACUUGAAAAUGUUUCUCUUUGCUAUGCAUAUAGCUAAUAAUUACUCCUAUGUGAUAUAACAUAAGUCAAAAAAUGAGGAAGGUAAGGGUAACAAUGGCUUUGAGCGCCAAAAAAGCCUAGGGCAACAAUGACACCUUUUGUCUGUGUCAUAUAGUUUUCACUUUUGCAAGUGGUAGUAUUUUGAAAGAAGGA
rnacentral:lncRNA from 1 species